rfam:Beta vulgaris subsp. vulgaris contig144085.1, whole genome shotgun sequence.
GCAUUUGUGGCCGAGCGGUCUAAGGCGUCCGACUCAAGUUCGGAUCCUCGUCAGAGGGCGUGGGUUCAAAUCCCAUCGAAUGCA